UGCACCGCGCGGGCCAGAUGCAGCCGGACAUCAAGCCCCGGCCUUCACUGACACGGGCAACCUGAGGUACUGCAGCACGCGGUCGACCGCGUCCAGGCGCCAUGGACUGCACCGGCGCCGGCGACCCCUCCUCCUCCUCGUUCCCCAUCAUCAAGGCCUCUUUCCACCAUCCCCUUCUGAACGAGCCACCGCAGGAGAUCGACGCUGGCGUCCUCUUCCCUGCACCACAAGGUCGACCCGCCGGUGGUUACCCUGAUUGGCAUCCUGUGGCAGGCCGAGGCACGGCGAUGUGUUGUCAUGCUGCCGGCGGCGUUCACGAUCACGACAUGCUGCUGGAGCGCACCUCACCAAUCUCAUGCUCCCGGUGAUGGUCUCUACUACUCCUAGAAGUAUAUUUCCUGGAAUUUGUUCUUUCAUUUUUGUAAAGUAGUAGUACCGGAAUCGUGCAUGUAUAAUGGAAAUCGGUAUGUGCAUAGGCAGUGGAUGCAUAGGAAACGAAUAUUCUCAUUUUGCUCUAAAAAUGUGCAGCAGCUCUCACAUUAAUUUGCUCCAUAUCCGUGGUGUAUAUUGAAUUUUCAAGUUCUUUUGUUGCUCCUGUAUUUGGUGUAUCUAUCAGUGGUUAUUGGAUCAAGAGGCUCCCUGGUUAGGAACAAGCAUUGCUGCGCCAAUAUCAUUGUAUAAUCCUAAUGCUGGAAUACUGACUGAUUGAUCAAUUUAAUAACCCAUUGGUUAGGAUUAUGCUAUGCUGGUAGUAGCAGGAUUUAUAUUUAACUUUGCUGGUAGUAGCUACUGACUUAAGUUUGGUAGAUUAAAUACUGCUAGUUACUGUCUUUAGAAAAAUACCCUUUGUGUUAUUUCCCUUGCUGUCUCAUGUGUUUACUUAUGUGGUCUUCAGUUCACCAGAUUCUGCAAGUACUAACUAAUUAUUUAUCUAGUUUGAUUGUUUUGCUGCUCAUAUAGUUGAUUUUUGUGCAUGGUGUAGCACCUAGUUUCACGACGGAUAGUUUAUAUGCUUGGCCUUGGUAAGCCGUAAUAAUAGUGACUGAGCUGAACACACCAGUCCAUCUGUAUUGACUUGUAUAUACCCAGUUGCAGUAUCUGACUCGCCCGCUAACAUCAUAUGUUUCUUGACAAGUUGUGCUACAGCUCGGGAAUUGGGAUCAUGAAGACCUGACCACAGAUCUACUGUUCACUAUUGUGGCUCUCAGCUCAGGUGUAUUUACUAGGUCUAGCUAUUUAUCUGCUGACUGGGUAUGUUCAGUAUCCAUUUGUCAAGUUAGGAUCAUCAUGUUAUCAUGAUUUUUAAAUUUGUAUGCCUGAUAAGCCAAGGUUGUAAUAAACUACAGAUCUAGCCGCAGUUUUAGAUGCUUAAAAUGAAUGUUCCUAUGAAUGCUAAAGAUAUAGCAUGAAAAAUCCUGAUUGUAUUCUGGUCAUGAGUCAGCACUCCAAAAUCCUAGUAAUAUUCAGUUUGAAUGCAUCAUUUGCUUGGUAUUGUUUUAUACAACUGCCUCUUUGAGACACUUAACUAUAUAUGAGGAUGAAUUAUGUUCAGGAGAAGUUUUGAUAAAUUAUUUUGCCUAUUCUGAUGCUAAUAAAAUGAUGCUAAUAGAUUUCGUCUUGUUGCAUUGAUCUAGGUUUCAUCAAGGUAGUAAUAAUGAGGCCAGCUGCUCUGUAUUUUUCUUUUGUGAAGAUGGCUGAAGGGCGACAGUGGACUGUUCAUACUGUUAUUUUGUUAGCCGAGUGUACCAAAUGGCACGGCCUGGUACUGUCUAUUGUUGUCUAAUGAGUGUUGCAUAACCAUUACUGAAACAUUGUUGAGAGAGCAUGCACAAAGCUCAGAUCCAAAGCAGCCGAUGGUCUCCAGGAAAUGGUGAAUUGCUUGAGGUCCUAUAGCUUGUGUUGGAGGAAGCCUACAUGUGGCCAGUGUUGCCGCUUACAGAGUUUUGGACAUGGUCAAUGAGUGCAGGACAUGAGGUCAGAGGCUGCUCAAAUGGUGACAAUGAUGCUGCCCAAAUUUGGCAUCAUGUAGAAUGCCAUCAAGAUGAAGUUGAACACCGAACUAGUGAUGAAUACAGGACAAGAUUCCGAAGAGGCGUUGGUUGUUGGGAGGGGAGAUAAAUACAGGACAAUGGACGUGCUACUAUCUUCUGCGAGCAACAUCAGAGAAGGGCUGCCCAGCUGCAUCAUUCUACCCAUCUUUGGGCUUGCACUCAGCCGCAAGAUAUGACACGUGAAAUCCUGCUCAGCAAAAACAGUAUUAGUAUUUACAUUAUAUGAUGUAACGGGAAACUUGUCUUGCUGUUAUUUGAAGCAUCACGUGUGGUUUUGUAGCUGUUAUUUGAAGUAUUAUGUGCGUUUUCUAUCUGGUCAACUUUAAAUAUUUUUAUA